rnacentral:rRNA from 1 species
CCGCGGUAAUACGAAGGGGGCUAGCGUUGUUCGGAAUUACUGGGCGUAAAGCGCACGUAGGCGGAUCGGUCAGUUAGGGGUGAAAUCCCAGGGCUCAACCCUGGAACUGCCUCUAAUACUGCCGAUCUCGAGUUCGAGAGAGGUGAGUGGAAUUCCGAGUGUAGAGGUGAAAUUCGUAGAUAUUCGGAGGAACACCAGUGGCGAAGGCGGCUCACUGGCUCGAUACUGACGCUGAGGCGCGAAAGCUGGGGGAGCAAACGGG